GAUUUGGAAAGAUAUCACCACGAAACUAAAUGCCACUGGUGACAUAACCCGGAAUGAGGAUGAAGUACGUAAGAAAUGGACGGACAUGAAGGGAUGUGUGAAGAAGGCAGAGUCAGCCAGGAGGCUGAAUGCAAGGAGGACUGGUGGUGGACCACCCCCAGAUGACCUUACUGCAACUGAAAAGAGGAUUCUACAACUGAUUCCAUCCUGUGCUAUUGAGGGGAUCUCAGGAGGCAUGGAAACACCUGUGUUCAGCAUGAUUCCUUCAGUAGCUGAUGAAGCUGAAGAAGCUACACAGGC